GAGCUCUGGAAAAAUAACAAAGAACCAGUCCUUUAUCUCCAAGGGUGCUGCUGUCAAACAAACCAGGACUCCAUGCUGCUGCACAAAUUGCCUGGCAGGAGGGAUAUGGUGCAUGAGAGUCCAAAUCUUCCAGAUGGAGAACAAGGUGCUGCCUGGCUUUCCAUGGGCUUGCAGAGUGGACCUCUAUGGCCAGAUUGGAUAUGAUGCUGCAGCUCAGUGAUAUUGAAUGUGUUCUACAAAAACUCUCAGUAGUGAUAACCUUAAAUACCUGUUUGACA
rnacentral:lncRNA from 1 species